rnacentral:rRNA from 1 species
AUACAGAGGGUGCGAGCGUUAAUCGGAAUUACUGGGCGUAAAGCGCGCGUAGGCGGCUUGGUCAGUCGGAUGUGAAAGCCCCGGGCUCAACCUGGGAAUGGCAUUCGAUACUGCCAGGCUAGAGUAUGGGAGAGGGAAGUGGAAUUUCCGGUGUAGCGGUGGAAUGCGUAGAUAUCGGAAGGAACACCAGUGGCGAAGGCGACUUCCUGGCCCAAUACUGACGCUGAGGUGCGAGAGCGUGGGGAGCGAACAGGAUUAGAAACCCUAGUAGUCC